rnacentral:lncRNA from 1 species
UCCAAUUUGUGAGGCGUUUCAAUCAAGCCCAUCUUAUUUCUUUUAAAUCGUGCUGCAUGAUUUGCUUCUGUUUCAAUUGGCCCGUGAUGCUGCGCAACGUUUUGAGAGAACGGAUUAAUUUCUAUUUGGGUCCUUCUUUUGUUGUGCGCGCUUUGAUUAGGUCCAUUCGCGUGUUUUCUAAUGCUAAAUGCGGCCCUUAAAUUCUGUUUAGUUUUCAAUUUGAUCCUUAAUCGGUUUUUUUAAUUUCUUUUAUAUUAUUUGACAUUGUAUUAUUA